GAGUUUGAUCGUGGCUCAGGAUGAACGCCGGCGGUGUGCCUAAUACAUGCAAGUCGUACGCACUGGCCCAACUGAUUGAUGGUGCUUGCACCUGAUCGACGAUGGAUCACCAGUGAGUGGCGGACGGGUGAGUAACACGUAGGUAACCUGCCCUGUACGGGGGAUAACAAUCAGAAAUAGACUGCUAAUACCGCAUAAGACCACAGCACCGCAUGGUGCAGGGGUAAAAACUACCGGUGGUACAGGAUGGACCCGCGUCUGAUUAGCUGGUUGGUGAGGUAACGGCUCACCAAGGCGACGAUCAGUAGCCGGCUUGAGAGAGUGAACGGCCACAUUGGGACUGAGACACGGCCCAAACUCCUACGGGAGGCAGCAGUGGGGAAUAUUGCACAAUGGGGGAAACCCUGAUGCAGCAACGCCGCGUGAGUGAAGAAGUAUUUCGGUAUGUAAAGCUCUAUCAGCAGGGAAGAAAGUGACGGUACCUGACUAAGAAGCCCCGGCUAACUACGU
rnacentral:rRNA from 1 species